UACCGUGAAAAAAUUAGAGUGUUCAAAGCAGGCAGAUCCAAUUUUCUGCCACCGAAUACAUUAGCAUGGGAUAAUGGAAUAGGACCCUGUCCUCCUAUUUUCAGUUGGUUUGCCGCGAGGACCAGGGUAAUGAUUAAUAGGGAUAGUUGGGGGCAUUAAUAUUUAAUUGUCAGAGGUGAAAUUCUUGGAUUUAUGAAAGAUUAACUUCUGCGAAAGCAUCUGCCAAGGAUGUUUUCAUUAAUCAAGAACGAAAGUUAGGGGAUCGAAGACGAUCAGAUACCGUCGUAGUCUUAACCAUAAACGAUGCCGACCAGCGAUUAGGAGACGUUGAAUACAAAACACCACCAUGCGCAUUGCGGUCGUCUUUGGUGUCGCUCACAAGGCGAAACCGGGNGGCUAGCUCGCUGCCU
rnacentral:rRNA from 1 species